GCGGAGAUGAACAUUUUGUGCGGGAUAGCGGAGAGAGGAGUUAGUGCGAGACUUUGUGAGCGAUACUUUGCGUAAUCGGCGAGCGAGCGUUUGGUGAUCUGUAAAAAUCAUGCGACUUGUAAGGGAAUAUCCCACCACCUUGAGGACUCUGCCGGGAUAGUUCUUACAAUAUUGGGGACUCUCCCGAGACAAUUCCUACAAAUAUUGGGGGCUCGUCCGAGAUUGUUCCUACAUGAGUGAUACAGAACAGUACUUCAGACAUUAAUUGUAAGUGUUUCAUCCUGAGUGGUGGACAAGAAUCUAUAGCGCAAAGGGCUGAAGAGCUUAUAUAUUUAAAAAAAUGCUGGUAGUGGAGCAGUCGACGUAUUCCCCAAAACUACCUACGACAACGGCUCUUGACGCGCUGUCGACUUGAGUACCCCAACAACCAGCUAAGCCGAGAAAUUCUUAAAGCUCUCACACACGUUGACAUUUGCGGCGUUGGAUCGUUACAAGUGACAAGUUGGAUUCUUUCAAGGUUCCGUAAUACACUUGUAGCAGCAGAAAUAAUGACGUAGACAGACGACAACAACGAAGACGGUGACCGCGUCAUUUCCAUGACAUAGUCAGCUGAUUGCCGAAAGCAAUGAACGCAUCGCGGAAAACACCUUAGGUUAACGAACCUUGUAAACUCCAAAUAACUGAUUAUUUACUAAAAUUACAGUGGACUGUAUAGACACCUGAAUUCUUGGAGUUUGCUUAUGUGGCGACUUUAGUUGCUAGAAUUGUGUCCAAUGAAUCUAUAAAUCUAAAGUCGAAGUAGGCCUGAGCACAUGGAGUCUCGCUGCUGACUAACUGCCUAUUCCUAGAAAACUCUUGUCGUUGAAAAAAAGAAAGGUGGAGACGUCUUCAGCGACUACCGGCAAUCUUGGAACUGAGUAAUUUUCCUACUGGCGGUUAAACUAAACGGAUUUUUCAUUGGCCAAAUGGGGUACGCACGUAAAUACAUUACUUUGACGCGUAAGCCUCUUAUUUGGAUGAGCAAGUGACCAUGCCCCUGGCAAAAAGUGGCCCGCAAGUGAAAAGGUCUUAUCGUUGCGUUCGAAACUUUCCGACACGUGUUUGCUGACUUUACGAGAAGCCAUAAGCUAUUCUCCUGGAAGUAAUAAUGAUAAAGUCGCGAGCAUAAACAAUGAAACAGUCUCUGUCGAUUCAAGAGUGCAUAGAAAUUUAAAGGACUUUAGAUAGGCUAUGACUCCUCGUGUUGCAUUGAAGAAAUUAGAGAAUUGUCUGGUAAUCGCUGCUGUCCGCGGUUUUGAAUCUCUAACAAAUCUACUAACCCACUGCAGCGAAGAACAGUCUCCCCCUUUUUCCUCUCACCGCCACCGAGCGACUAUA